rnacentral:rRNA from 1 species
CACAUGCAAGUCGAACGGCAGCGCGGGGCAACCUGGCGGCGAGUGGCGAACGGGUGAGUAAUAUAUCGGAACGUGCCCUGGAGUGGGGGAUAACGCAGCGAAAGUUGCGCUAAUACCGCGUACGAUCUAAGGAUGAAAGCGGGGGACUCGCAAGAACCUCGUGCUCCUGGAGCGGCCGAUAUCUGAUUAGCUAGUUGGUGGGGUAAAGGCCUACCAAGGCAUCGAUCAGUAGCUGGUCUGAGAGGACGACCAGCCACACUGGAACUGAGACACGGUCCAGACUCCUACGGGAGGCAGCAGUGGGGAAUUUUGGACAAUGGGCGAAAGCCUGAUCCAGCAAUGCCGCGUGAGUGAAGAAGGCCUUCGGGUUGUAAAGCUCUUUUGUCAGGGAAGAAACGGUCGUGGCUAAUAUCCAUGGCUAAUGACGGACCUGAAGAAUAAGCACCGGCUACUACGUGCCAGCAGCCGCGGUAUACCUAGGGUGCAAGCGUUAUCGGAAUUCUGGGCGUAAAGCGUGCGCAGGCGGUUUUGUAAGUUUGUCGUGAAAUCCCCGGGCUCAACCUGGGAAUGGCGAUGAAGACUGCAAGGCUAGAAUCUGGCAGAGGGGGGUAGAAUUCCACGUGUAGCAGUGAAAUGCGUAGAGAUGUGGAGGAACACCGAUGGCGAAGGCAGCCCCCUGGGUCAAGAUUGACGCUCAUGCACGAAAGCGUGGGGAGCAAACAGGAUUAGAUACCCUGGUAGUCCACGCCCUAAACGAUGUCUACUAGUUGUCGGGUUUUAAUUAACUUGGUAACGCAGCUAACGCGUGAAGUAGACCGCCUGGGGAGUACGGUCGCAAGAUUAAAACUCAAAGGAAUUGACGGGGACCCGCACAAGCGGUGGAUGAUGUGGAUUAAUUCGAUGCAACGCGAAAAACCUUACCUACCCUUGACAUGUACGGAAGCCACGAGAGAUCGAGGUGUGCUCGAAAGAGAACCGUAACACAGGUGCUGCAUGGCUGUCGUCAGCUCGUUCGU